rnacentral:lncRNA from 1 species
UUUGCCAUAACUUCAUUAUAGCUCAGUUUUAAUUCGUUCUUCAUGAACGUUUCUACCAUUCCUAACCAAGAAAUAAGCAUCUAACUUAUAUGUGAGGGUUUUAAACUUGUCCAUUAACAACAAUUAUACUACGAUGGUUUUAAAUUUGUCCAUCAACAACGUUCUUCAUGUUCUUCGUGUUCUUCAUUCGUUCUUCAUUUUUAAUCGAUAUUUUGGAUUAUGAUUUCACUUUUUCUUGAAAUUUAAUGUUAUAG